GGGCCCGCACAAGCAGUGGAUUAUGUGGUUUAAUUCAACGCAACGCGAAGAACCUUACCAGGUCUUGACAUCCAGGGAAGGCGGCAGAGAUGCUGCCGUGCCCUUCGGGGAACCCUGAGACAGGUGGUGCAUGGUUGUCGUCAGCUCGUGUCGUGAGAUGUUGGGUUAAGUCCCGCAACGAGCGCAACCCCUGCCAUUAGUUGCUACGCAAGAGCACUCUAAUGGGACCGCUACCGACAAGGUGGAGGAAGGUGGGGACGACGUCAAAUCAUCAUGCCCCUUAUGACCUGGGCUACACACGUAAUACAAUGGCCGUUAACAACGGGAAGCGAAGGCGCGAGCCGGAGCAAAACCCCAAAAACGGUCUCAGUUCGGAUCGUAGGCUGCAACCCGCCUACGUGAAGUUGGAAUUGCUAGUAAUCGCGGAUCAGCAUGCCG
rnacentral:rRNA from 1 species